rnacentral:misc_RNA from 1 species
CAAACCUCAAGCUUCUGCUUGGUAUUGAGCGGUUUCGCCUCCGUUUCCGGAGGCGCCCUCGAAACUCGUGGGCGGUGAUGUCCAGCGUCGUAGCGUAGUCAUAAACAAUUCCGCUUCCGAUCGCUUUGGACGACUCACCCGCCAGACGAACCGACAGCACCUCUUUGGGGUGUCGUCACUUUUCUUAAG